rnacentral:rRNA from 1 species
UACGUAGGGGGCAAGCGUUGUCCGGAUUUAUUGGGCGUAAAGAGCGUGUAGGCGGCCACACAGGUCUGCUGUGAAAACUCGAGGCUCAACCUCGAGCUGUCGGUGGAAACCGUGUGGCUAGAGUCCGGAAGAGGAGAGUGGAAUUCCCGGUGUAGCGGUGAAAUGCGCAGAUAUCAGGAGGAACACCGGUGGCGAAGGCGGGUCUCUGGGCCGAUACUGACGCUGAGGAGCGAAAGCGUGGGGAGCGAACAGG